rnacentral:lncRNA from 1 species
GUUUGAGGCACAGAGCUGUAUAUACAAUAACAGUGAAAUUGAUCCCACUACUAAUUAUGACAAAAAUGAUCUUCCACGUAAACAGGUGGUGAAGCUCCUUAUGGUCCUGACCCUACAGUUCCUGUCCCAUGACCAGGGCCAGAUCACCAAGGAGCUGCAGCAGUUCGUCGUCAGUGGCAGCCCCAUGCGAGCACCCGAGGAAGGCAAGUACGUGGGUGAUAUAUUCCUGUAUUCUUGGACAAGUACACUGGUGACAUGUAGCUGUAUUCAGAGAGAUCACACAGCGGGCGCCUACGAUCGGCUUAAUCAUCAUUCACUUCCAUCGGAUCAACUGGAAAUCAAGUCAGGUGAUGGCUGUGGAGCCCACAGGACUGGAACCUCACACUGCAGGGCUGGAGGCACAGGCCAUUUACUGUUCUGUGCCCUGGGGGGCUCAAGGCACAGAGCUCCUCAUUAGCCAAAGUCACCCAAGUUCCCCAACCUCUUAAAGAUUUCCUCAUCAUCAUGCAAGAAGAAGAGAAAACAAAUAUAUUGUGACUAUAUAUAUAUAGUCACAGGUGCCCAGGCCGGAGUGCAGUGGCGUGAUCUCGGCUCGCUACAACCACCACCUCCUAGCAGCCUGCCUUGGCCUUCCAAAGUGCUGAGAUUGCAGCCUCUGCCCAGCCGCCACCCCG